rnacentral:rRNA from 1 species
AGCGAACGCUGGCGGCAGGCCUAACACAUGCAAGUCGAACGAACUCUUCGGAAUUGGUGGCGGACGGGUGUGUAACACGGGGGAACGUGCCUUUUGGUUCGGGAUAACUCAGGGAAACUUGUGCUAAUGCCGAAUGUGCCCUUCGAGGGAAAGAUUGAUCGCGAUUGGUGAGGCCCGCGUCUGAUUAGCUUGUUGGGGAGGUAACGGCUCACCAAGGCGACGAUCAGUAGCUGGUUUGAGAGGAUGACCAGCCACACUGGGACUGAGACACGGUCCAGACUCCUACGCGAGGGAGCAGUGCGGAAUCUAGCGCAACGGGCGAGAGGCUGACGCAGCCAGGCCGCGUGAAUGAUGAAGGUCGUAGGAAUGUAAAAUUCUUUCACCGGGGACGAUAAUGACGGUACCCGGAGAAGAAGCCCCGGCUAACUUCGUG